GGUAGCAAAAUGACCUGCAGCUGAGCACAUCAGCAGUAGCUGUUAAUUGCAAGAACAGGAGGUCAAGACGUAGUGCAAAGUGGCAGCUUUGUAGCAAAAGCAGCUGGCAGGGAAGAGUGAAAUGAAAGGGAAUAAAUGACUGGUUGCUGAAUGGAAUACAGAGAGAAACAUGCACAGGGGGUUUGAGUCACUGACUGCUUAAUGCUCUUUCUUGCAAGUGGCCAUAUGUGACCUCUGUUUUCUCAGUGUGAAUCAGAGUAACAGUAGUUUUUAGUCAGCACAAGACACAAAGUUAUUUAGAUGCUAAAAGGGUUACUUAGCUAUAUGAAAAGGGAGACUGUAAGUGCCCUGAAAAGACCUCAAAGAGCUUUUUCCUCCCUCUUUUCUUGAAAGAAAAAGGAAUUAAUAUUACUCAAAAUACAAGAAGGGUUCUCUUGUUUGUUACCCUUUUGGGGGACUGUUUUAAUCUAAGUGCCCAGGACACUUAUAGAGAAAAUUCUAGUGAUGAAGACCUGCCUCUCUUCUUCUUUUUUCCCCUCUUUGAAGUUCCUGGCAACUCAUCCUGAUUUGCUUUAUGUAGCAAGAGGCUAAAGUUUUCAGAAGAGUCUAACAAUAUAAAAUGCCUUGUUUAAAUUCCCAAAUCAAGAAGCUUUCACAGGGCUCAGUUUUCAGAAAGCUGUUAACACAAAGUAAUGUGGGUUUAACACUUGCAAAUGUUGACUAGUCCCCGUAGGGCCAACCAAUUUCAGCUAUUCACACUCUGCAGAUAACCCCAUUAUAGGGCUAAAAUUACCAUCUUUGUGAUAGAACAAAAGAACAAAACUUUGCAAGGACCUCUGAGGAUCCCAUUGAUAAUAUCACUGAGGGAUCUGUAUUAUAUAGAAACCAAAAGGAUCUAUUAUGAAGUAAAUUACUAUAUGAAUAAAGAUACAAAGUAGGUGGCUAAAAACUUUCUAUAAUUUGGGGAAAAUGAAAGCUGAUAUUCUUCUCUUAACUGGCAGAUAUUAGGAGUACUGCUGCAAUGAUACGGCAUGCCCAGAUGUGCCCCGUUGGGCAAGAAGGCCAAAGGCACCUGGGCUGUCCCAGCCAUGGUGUGGCAUCAGGACCAGGGCAGUGCCCGUCCCUGUGUUGGGACUUCUGAGGCCACACCUUGAAUUCUGUGUCCAGUUCUGGGCCCCUCACAACAAGAAAGACAUUGAGGCGCUUGAGUGUGUCCAGAAAAGGGCAACAGAGCUGCUCAAGGGUUUGGAGCACAAGUCUGAUAAAGAGAGGCUGAGGGAGCUGGGGGAGCUCAGCCUGGAGAAGAGUGGGCUCAGGGAAGACCUUAUUGCUCUCUACAACUGCCUGAAGGGAGGUUGUAAUGGGAUGAGUGUUUCUUGCCCCAAGUAGCAAGUGACAGGACAAGAGAAUAUGGACUCAAGUUGUGCCAGGAGAGGAUUAGAUGGGAUAUUGGGAUAAAUGUCUUCCCCCAAAGGGUUGUCAAGCUAUGUCAGAGCCUGCCCAGGGCAGUGUUAGUCACCAUCCCUGGAGGGAUUUAAAAGGCCUGUAGAUGUGGCACUCAGGGACAUGGUUUAGUGCUGGGCUUGACAGUGCUGGGUUAGUGGCUGGACUUGAUAAUCUCAAAGGUCUGUUCCAGCCUAAGUGAUUGUAUGAUUCUGUGAUUAACCCUAAUGGGAUACGAGGUCAGAAAAACACAGAAAAGAAGACAACAUUCCUUAUUUCAUUUAUGCUGAAUUUCUCAAAUAAUGCUGAAGCACUGAAAUAAGAGUGGCAUGAGGUAACAAUCUCACUAAGAAUGUUAAUAUGGGGAAGAAGCUUUGAUUGUUUCUGAUCUCUCUUGAAGUUCAUUCUUAUUUCCUGUCCAAGAAUAAACACCAAGAAAAUUACUGCAAAUAGCCAAAUUUUAAAGCAAAUUAGCUUUUCAAGCAUGCGAUAAGAUGUCGAGUAGGGUUAUCAACCAAUUGGGUAGUUGAUAAUGAGAACAGCUGGCUAAAAAUGAAAACUAGCUUCUAAUGGUUUUCAUUGGAGCAAAGUGUCCUGGCACUGAAAAUCCAAUUAGACCACAAAGGGGAUUUAGAAUGAGGUACGACAGCACUGAGCCACAGCAGUGCUCUGGAAAUGUGAUCUAAAAUGCAUAAAGAAAGAAAAGUUGCUUUGAAUGGGCUUAUUAAAAGGAGGAGUGGAAGACUGCUUCUCCUAAAUAUGUUGGAUUUUGAAGUCCGUGUCAGUAAGAGUUUAAGUGCUAGAGCUCUAAUCCGGAUGAAGGGACUUUUAUCAAGAAUGUGACAGCUAUGUUGGUUGUCCCGGAGCCAGAUGCAUAAAACAGCUAAGUCAGUCUUUGCAAACUAGUGAUGUGUCUGUAAGGAUCAGUUUUUUUGCUUCCUAAGUCACAUCCAAUAACCAAAAGUUUGGAGCCCUUGGCAACAUAUAAAAUACCAGCAUUCAUAUCUGUGCCUGAAGCUGACUUGAAGAAAAACCUGCUGGCUCUUGACAGGUUGUGCUAUAACCUGCUCUGAGUAAUGAAUAGGAGAGAAAAAUUUUGUGAAAUCAAGCUAGCUUGGCAUAAAUCUUUUAUUAUAAAGGAAGGAUCAGGGCUUCCUUGAGUGAGCUUUGCUAAUUUUCAGCACUUUUUCUCAAGGAGGAGUGCUUCUAAGUGUCAGAAACCUGUUAUCACCACACAACAUUAAUAGAGGGUGAGUGACUAAACUUUGUUGGAUGCAGCUUGGAGAUAGUAUUAUCUCCUGUCUUACAUAAACCCUCCAAUAAAAUAAAUAAAAGCCAGUCAGAUGAUGUACUCUGAUCAAUAAAAUAUGCUCUAGCAUGAAAAAAAAUUAAAACCUAAAGUUUUCAGUCUCCUACCCAUUUAACUAUAGAUACUAAUUUUGAUUAAAACAUUUGAUUUGGAGAAGCUAUUAACAGAAUAAGAAAUGAAUCAUUAAAAAUUAUUAAAUGUACUCAUAUGGAACAUCAACAAAUCUAUUCCAUAAAUGCCUAGACUCAAAACUAUGAUGAAUUGACUUCAUUGCAAUGCAGAUUUCAAAAGAGAAUGCCUUUUUCUCCUUGUUGACAAUAAAAGUAAGAUAAAUAAGUCAGUCAGAUUCUGGCUUUACCAUCUUAUAACGGUACAGAAUGUGGUCUUAUACAGAAAACACAUUGUUUCUUUUAGUCAUCAAGAAUCCAUUUCAGAGGUAGUUAUAAAAUGUUUACAAAAUUCCUGCAAAAAUUACACUAGGCACUUGUAAAUAAUAAGGUGUUUACUGCAAGUCCUUUGCCUCUUAUGUGUCCAUGAUUCUAUUCAGCAUCCUACUUUGCAGACCUUUCAGACAAGUAAGUACAUUGUAAGUUAUCUAUUGCAUAAGAAAUGUAUGCCACUCCCUCACAAGCAACACACACACAGAGGCACUUGCUUAUUUUCACCGGGCAAUAAAAACUCUUGGAGUAAAUUUCUGCUUUGGAUUAUUAUCAGAGUUUAUUCUAACUCAACGUUUUCCACUUCCACAGAAAUAUUUAAUAGUGACAUUUCCUGCCUUCUCCUGCUCAUCAGAUUUCUGCUGUCAGUAUACAAGAGGAGCUAUUCUACUUCCUAGUCCCCUCUUACUAAAGAAAUCAACAGAACUUAUAUGCCCGAUGAUUUCUACACAUUUCCAUAUAUCAGAAUAAUAUCAAGUCACAUUGAUAAAUCCCUUUUAGUAAUAGGUGAGGGCAUAAUUCUGCAUUAUUCUGUAGUUUCCAAUGUUUAUGAACUUGAAUUACCUUUUUUUUUUUUUUUCCUUCUCCCUUGAGGUGUGAGUGGCACAACUGAGGAAAGAGAGAUGGUCCAGACAAGCUGAGGUUUUUCUACUGAGGACUCAGGACAAACAACAGUUUGGAGCAUUAAAAUUAAGAGCUGAGCUUUUGGUUCAGAGGAUUUGUUGCCAAGGAGCCUCAACAGACUGGAAAAAAAUCACUUCCAGUGCAACGAGAACACCUCAGUGAGCUGGACUUCUUCCUGAAGACCUUGAAAAAAUGCCAGGAGGUACUUCCAAGCAAAAUGAUUGCAUUAAGGAUGCCUGCAGCUGAUUGUUGGAAGAUUUGGAACUAGGAUUGCAACCAUGUGUGUUUUUGUUGUGUUGACAUCUACUUUGAGAUUUAACUUUUUAAGGAAGAAAGAUAGCCCAUUUGAACCAUUUUGGCAAAAUCAAGUCUUCAGGACUUUUCUGCACUCUGCAAUGCGGUAUAGAUUAAUUUUACCUGUGUCAGGAAACCUUUACCACCACUGUUUUACUGAUUUUAUCUUGUUCUAGUUGUGUCUUUGGUUUUUUUACUAGGAUAGCAUAAAUCCUGCAUAUGUUUUCCAGUAAUCUGCCUAUAUGAAUUCUUCUUAUUUUAAUAAAAACUCCAUAUAUCAUCAGCUUAAGCCACUGAUGCUUCAAGAGUCCUGUAAUAUUUACCUUUCAGGAUAUUCUUCAGUUUUCUAAGUGAACUGUUUUCUCUCUGAGUGAUAACUGAGGCUUUCACUCCCUGGUAAUGUAACUGGAUUUACCUUUGCAGUUGAGAGCACCUGAACUGGCUAUAUUUUGUAAGCUUGGACAAUUUCCUACACAUCUUGUAAGGAAUCUUAAUUCUCACUUUGUUAGCUUAGGGGCUUUUUCUCCCUUUUAGUUUAUUGGGGUUUGCUUGUUAAUUUUCAGUUAAAAUCCAUAUUUUUGAUACUUGAAACCUUUUGCAGGAAGGCUAAAAAGUCAAAAUUUUUAAAGCAUUUUAAGUAACCAUUAAUAUUAAAAUAUCUCACAACAUAAAGAAUAAAGAAAUGUAGCAGUUGGUCAGGUCUAGGUAAUAAAACUGACUUCAGGGAUACUUCAGAAAAGUGUGUGUUGAAAAGGUUAUUUCUCUGUAUAUAACUUUGUUUCAGAUAUGUGUACUACUGUGGUUUCCUUU